rnacentral:rRNA from 1 species
GACGAACGCUGGCGGCGUGCUUAACACAUGCAAGUCGAACGGAAAGGCCUCUUUCGGGGGGUACUCGAGUGGCGAACGGGUGAGUAACACGUGAGUAACCUGCCCUUGACUUUGUGAUAACUUCAGGAAACUGUGGCUAAUACCGGAUAUGAGCUCCUGCUGCAUGGUGGGGGUUGGAAAGUUUCGGCGGUUGGGGAUGGACUCGCGGCGUAUCAGCUUGUUGGUGGGGGAGUGGCUUACCAAGGCUUUGACGGGUAGCCGGCCUGAGAGGGUGACCGGCCACAUUGGGACUGAGAUCCGGCCCAGACUCCUACGGGAGGCAGCAGUGGGGAAUAUUGCACAAUGGGUGGGAGCCUGAUGCAGCAACGCCGUGUGCGGGAUGACGGCCUUCGGGUUGGAAACCGCUUUCGCUCAUGACGAAGCUUUGUGUGACGGUAGUGGGUAAAGAAGCACCGGCUAACUACGUG